rnacentral:lncRNA from 1 species
GUCCUAGCGCGGGCACGCAGUCGCCACCCUAACUACGAGAGCGUGUCUUGGGGAAAAGCGCGAUGCUUUUUGCCCUGCGGCGUCAGUGACCGUAAGCAGCCUUCGGAGCGACUGACCCACAGCUCUAAAGGACAGCUAGCGCCACUGUUGAGACAGAAAACUGAGGCUAUGCCUGGGAAACUGUGGAUGAGUUGGAGAGCAACCCCUCCAAAGCGUCCCAAGCACUUGGUGUUUUUCUGAGCCAAACUCCCUUCUUAGAGACUAAUUAGAUGUUCCUGAUGGUCGAGUUCACCACCACAGUGAGUGGUGAAGACAUCCCAGUCAACAGAUGGUGCUGUGUGCCCGUGUCCUAGUGGUCACCCUGAGAGAUCUCCUGCUUCUGCCCUUCCCCCUUCUCCAUCCACACCAGUGUGCUGUUGCCACCCUGCUGCAGAGCAUAUUGUCACAUCCAGCAGCUGCCUUAACCUGUGACCUCUGGAACCUUGUUUCCCUCUUCCCCAACCUGUCCCUCAUCUUCCCCGUGCCCUUUUGAUGUUUCUCCAUGGAGUCUGAGGGCUUUACUGGAUCCAGAAAGGAUGUCCUGUGCCAAGUCUGUUGAUGGUGAUGUUGGUACUCCUCAUUGCUCUUCAUCAGCCACAGUGGACAGCAACAAGGCCAGCAGCGACUCUCCCUGUGACUGCUGGGGGACAUUCCUCCUCUGCCUCUGUUCCUGCAUUUCCUUCCUUGAGGUCCUGUGGCUCCUGGUGUAUACCCCACUAGGUCUCACCUCCAUGCUCCUGAGCACUGAGAAACUGCUGGUCAAGGCUAUUAGAAGAGCUGAACUGCUCCACCUCUGAAAGGGCAGUUCUGACCCUGGAUAUCUACAAUCCCUCCUGCUGCCAGCUACCUUCCACACAGGGCUGCUGCUUCACAGAUAGACCCUGGUUCUGCAGACCUGGAGGGUCCUGCUGGAGACCCAGAAGAAGGCCCAGCCACAGGACAUGAGCAGCCCUCCAGCCCUGCUGUGUUUGCUGGCACUUUCUUGUGACCAUCCAUGCCAGGAGCUGCUCAUCAGUUUGUGCGUGAGGCACGAGCUGAGGCAGCUUCUCCAUCUGGAGCAUGAGAUGGUGAGGGGAAGCUCCAGGUCUCCCAGCAGAGGGAAAAUUGCCUGCUGGAACGCUGUUGAGAAGAAAUGUGGACUGUCUCCAGGUGUCACACAGGAGAUUUAAACCCUGGGCCAGAGAGAUGUUCAGUGAGAAAAGUGCUUACUACCAAGCCUGAUGGCUGAAUUUGAUCCCAGAAGCCAAAUGGUGGAAAGAGAGAACUGACUCCCACAAAUUGUCUUAUAACCUUCAUAUACGUGUGUUUGUGCAUGCAACAUACAAAAUAAAUAAAUGUUUAAAAUUAAAGAAUUAAAUAUUGGC